rnacentral:rRNA from 1 species
AUUGAACGCUGGCGGCAGGCCUAACACAUGCAAGUCGAACGGUAACAGGAAGAAGCUUGCUUCUUUGCUGACGAGUGGCGGACGGGUGAGUAAUGUCUGGGAAACUGCCUGAUGGAGGGGGAUAACUACUGGAAACGGUAGCUAAUACCGCAUGACGUCGCAAGACCAAAGAGGGGGACCUUCGGGCCUCUUGCCAUCGGAUGUGCCCAGAUGGGAUUAGCUAGUAGGUGGGGUAACGGCUCACCUAGGCGACGAUCCCUAGCUGGUCUGAGAGGAUGACCAGCCACACUGGAACUGAGACACGGUCCAGACUCCUACGGGAGGCAGCAGUGGGGAAUAUUGCACAAUGGGCGCAAGCCUGAUGCAGCCAUGCCGCGUGUAUGAAGAAGGCCUUCGGGUUGUAAAGUACUUUCAGCGGGGAGGAAGGGAGUAAAGUUAAUACCUUUGCUCAUUGACGUUACCCGCAGAAGAAGCACCGGCUAACUCCGUG